GGAGAAGAAUCUUAGCUCAGUGGCAGAGCAUCCGCUUUUCGUGCAGAACAUCCCAGGUUCAAUCCCCAUCAUUUCCA